rnacentral:rRNA from 1 species
UCUUGAGUAAGGUCAAGUAGAAAAGGGGCGCACGGUGAAUGCCUAGGCACUAAAAGCCGAUGAAGGACGUGACGAACUACGAAAAGCUUCGGGGAGCGGUAAGUACGCAGUGAUCCGGAGAUGUCCGAAUGGGGGAACCCAAUGCAGCGAUGCAUUAUUGGUUGAUGAAUAGAUAGUCAAUCAAGGGAAUACGCAGUGAACUGAAACAUCUAAGUAGCUGCAGGAAGAGAAAGAAAAAUCGAUUUUCCUUAGUAGCGGCGAGCGAAGGAGGAAGAGAGCCCCAAAACCAAGGUGAUUUAUCAUUUGGGGUUUGUUAGGGACUGCAACGUGGUAGCGUGAGUGAUAGCAGAAUUAUCUGGGAAGGUAAGCCAGAGAGGGUGAGAGCCCCGUAAGCGAAAUUGCAAGCGCGCCUAGCAGAAUCCUGAGUAGACCGGGACACGAGAAAUCCCGGUUGAAAA